GACAUCCAAGAGACCCAAGAUUUUGGCUUUGAAAGACCCCCAGAGCAGGGAGACCCUCACUCAAGUCUUGGGAUGAUGCGACCCCCCAAGAAGUCACGUGAGACU
rnacentral:pre_miRNA from 14 species